GGACAACCUGCCCUUAGGUUGGGUAUAAACCCGGGAAACUGGGUAUAAUACCCGAUAGGUCUCGAUUGCUGGAAUGCAUCGAGAUUUAAAGCUCCGGCGCCUAAGGAUGGGUCUGCGGCCUAUCAGGUAGUAGUGGGUGUAGCGUACCUACUAGCCUACGACGGGUACGGGUUGUGAGAGCAAGAGCCCGGAGAUGGAUUCUGAGACACGAAUCCAGGCCCUACGGGGUGCAGCAGGCGCGAAAACUUUACAAUGCUGGCAACAGCGAUAAGGGAACCUCGAGUGCCAGGUUACAAAUCUGGCUGUCGAGAUGCCUAAAAAGCAUUUCAUAGCAAAGGCCGGGCAAGACCGGUGCCAGCCGCCGCGGUAACACCGGCGGCUCGAGUGGUAACCGUUAUUAUUGGGUCUAAAGGGUCUGUAGCCGGCCGGAUAAGUCUCUUGAGAAAUCUGGCAGCUUAACUGUCAGGCUUUCAGGAGAUACUGUCUGGCUCGAGGCCGGGAGAGGUGAGAGGUACUUCAGGGGUAGGGGUGAAAUCUUGUAAUCCUUGAAGGACCACCAGUGGCGAAGGCGUCUCACCAGAACGGACCUGACGGCAAGGGACGAAAGCUAGGGGCACGAACCGGAUUAGAUACCCGGGUAGUCCUAGCCGUAAACGAUACUCGCUAGGUGUCGGCCACGGUGCGACCGUUGUCGGUGCCGUAGGGAAGCCGUGAAGCGAGCCACCUGGGAAGUACGGCCGCAAGGCUGAAACUUAA
rnacentral:rRNA from 1 species